AUUGAACGCUGGCGGCAGGCCUAACACAUGCAAGUCGAACGCGUGGCGGACGGGUGAGUAAUGUCUGGGAAACUGCCUGAUGGAGGGGGUUAACUACUGGAAACGGUAGCUAAUACCGCAUACCAUCCGAUGUUCCCAGAUGGGAUGAGCUAGUUGGUGGGGUAACGGCUCACCAAUGCGACGAUCCCUAGCUGGUCUGAGAGGGUGACCGGCCACACUGGAACUGAGACACGGUCCAGACUCCUACGGGAGGCAGCAGUGGGGAAUAUUGCACAAUGGGCGCAAGCCUGAUGCAGCCAUGCCGCGUGUAUGAAGAAGGCCUUCGGAUUGUAAAGUACUUUCAUCGGGGAGGCGUUACCUGCAGAAGAAGCACCGGCUAACUCCGUGCCAGCAGCCGCGGUAAUAC
rnacentral:rRNA from 1 species